GAUCACUGCAGGUGUAGAUGUAUGCACCUUAUCUGACACCCUCCCACGGUACAUGGCCACUACGAACCGGGGAUUGGCCGGGUUCCUAGACCGGGUUCCUAGACCGGGUUCCUAGACCGAGUUCCUAGAACAGAUUCCUAGAACAGAUUCCUAGA